CACGCAUACGCUUCUUAUUUUUUGAUCCUACAAAUAAAUCGCUGGAGGUAAUAUCAGUGGCAAAUACGGUCUCUUCUUCCGUAUCCAGCCAUAUCUAGUGCUACCUGGCGUAUCAGCAUGAAUGCGACGCACAUGUCAGUGACAGGAGUGGUGAGGCGUUGGAUGGGCCAAGUAUUAUUAUCUAUUGUUUACAAAAAACAACUUCGGCUUUGAUUUAAUUAUGCAUCUGUCAGCACAUAGUGGUUUGCAAGAAAAAGGAUUAAAAAAAAUAGCGCAAGGGGAUCAACGAGCACUUUUUUUGCAGAAAGCACCUUUGCAUUUUAUUUAUUUAUGCAGAAAAUCCUCAUAUAAAUAUAAAAAUGCCAAAUCGGGGCUGCGAUUCAAACCCAUGACCUACUGCAGUUAGCAGCGGAUAGAUAACCACUCGACCAACUGGCAUUAAACGAUUAGGUAGCACUGUUAACUUUAUAUAACAUGGACAGUACGAAUUAAUGUAAAAAAUCGCAAAAAAGGGUGUGCAAAAAAGGGAAAGCCUCGGUUCGAACCUAUGACCUCGCCGCUUGUGAGAUAUACACAAUUUAUCUUCUGUAUUCUUGUUUCUUUUUUUUCUAUGUAAGAAAACAACUUAUACUGUAUAUUUUUUUUCGACAAAUCAACUAAUUUUUUGUUUGAUUUCGAAUAAUUUUAAUUUUGAAAAUCUAGGAAAAAGGAAAUACAGUGCAGAAUGAAUGUAGUAAAUUUCUUGGACACAUCAAGUAAAUUUUUGUUUGAAUUCUAAUAAUUUUAACUUAAAAUUCUAGUGCAUAAUGAAAGAACAUAAAUUAUUUUGGACAAAUCAAUGAAUUUUUUGUCUGAAUUCGAAUAAUUUUAAAUUUGAAAAUCUAGAUAAAAUAAAAUAUAGCUCAGAAUGAUUGUACGUAAUUUUUUUGAACAAAUCAAUGGAAUUUUUGUUUGAAUUCGUAUAACUUUAAUUUUUACCGAAAAAGGGUUUCCCCGCUUUGUAUUCCAAAGCAACCAGCCAACAUAGGAUACAUCUCGACGCUGGGGCGAGCAGCACAAUAAGCCCAAAGACAAAAAAGAAGAAGAAACAUAAUGCCAACAACGGCAGAUCGACAAAGCGCAGAAGGCCCGCCACCGUUGCGCCCUCCGGAAACACCCCACCACCGCCCGAGGUUCCGAGUGCCGCAUACCAAGCAGCACCUCCAAGAAGGUAUGCGACACCGACGACGCUGCUGCCCGGACAAGUCCUAGGGUUUCCCCCGGUAUGCGGAGGAAAGUAGGGAAUGGCUACCACCGACGCCCUUCAAGAAGGAAUGGUGGCACCCGCCGGUGUCACCGCAUCGGCGCCGGACGAACCGACAAGGAUUUCUCCCGCACACCAAACACCACCGCCCAUCCGGAGCCAACCAUCCAAACUACCACCCAAUGCGCCACCUCGGUUGCGCCGCCUCCCACGUCGUCUCACUACGAGGACCACCACGAGGCCGAGAAGACCGGAGAGAAGCGCCACACGACGAGAACAACAGCACCAAUGCCGAGCCGAAGGGAACCACCUCCACCGCCGUCGUGCGAGAAGUCGAGCCUCCGGCACUGUCGCGGUAGCCGACCGGACAUGGCGGCGGGGCAUACCAGGCCACCCCUGGCCCGGCCAGGCCCGAAACGGCCCGCUAAGCCCCGCCGGCCGUGCUGCAGCAAGCUGGCAUCGGUGCCGCCAGCCCCCGUCGCGCAACACCGCUCCCCUGCAUCCCGGGAGUCACGCCGCCAACCAGCCCCGCCGGCGGCCCGCCCAGGCCAGAUGGGCCCCGUAGGGCCUAGAUCUGGGCCGAGCGCCGCCGCCAGGAUGAGCCACACGCCACCCCGCCACCAACGACGGCACUGCCGCCCAGCUGCCCACCUGCUCUGCGACAAGGAACCCCGCCGCCAGCUGGACCGCCGCCGCCUAGGAGCACCCCCCCGGUGCAACUCCGCCCCGUGCCGGAGCCACCGGGAGGGGAAGGGCAGGAAGGCCGCCGCCACCAGCGACCCCGGGGCCAGGACGGCAGCGGGGAGGAAGGGAAGAGGGGGGCUGGAGGCGGGAGAGAGAGGUGCGCAGCCGGCCGCCCGCGGGGGGGCGACGCGGUCGCGAGAGCGAGCGAUAGAAUAUAGGUCAGUGUGCAUAUACGUACAUUUUUUGGACAAAUCAACUAUUCUCUUUGAAUUUGAAUAAUUUUAAAUUAAGAAAUCUAGAUAAAAGAAGAUGUAGUGCAGAAUAAAUGUACGUAAAUUUCUUUCGGACAAAUCAGUGGAUUUUUUUUUAAUUCGAAUAAUUUUAAAUUUGAAAAUCUAGAUAAAAGAAAAUAGAGUUCAGCUGAUUUAUCCGAAAGAAAUUUAAAAUAUAAAUAAUUUUAAAUUUGAAAAAAAUAGACCACUUAGUCAGAAUGACCCCACUCUCCCCGUGAUAUACGCAUAUGUCAUGGAGAAUUUCUAUUCCCCACGUAGUUUUCUUAAACAGAACAAGAUAAAUAACAACAUACACACGGACAUUUCUAUUCCACGCAUGAACAUUUUUUUUUGAAAUGCGUGAACAAUUUUAAAAUGCAAUUUGUCUUUUUACAAUGUUUAAAUAGUUUUUACUUUUUAAAUGUUUUACAAUGUUUAAAUAAUUCUUUAUGGAGUGGAGGAUAUCGGAUAGAAACCCUUGGUGCUAUGUUUUAUUCCUGUUUCUCAUGAACCAUGUGUUGGAAGGUGCGUAAUUAAAUAAAAGUCGAGGGUGCGUUCUGCAAAAAUAAUAGAUAAUGUGUGGCUCAUCCAACACCUCACCACUCCCAGCCACGGGCAUGUGGGCCGCAUUCAUGCUGACACGCCGCGUGAGAAUACAACUAGAUACCGAAGAACUGACCGUAUCUACAUGCAUAGGCAAGUUAUGCGACUGCAAUGAUGUAUUUUUCAACUUUUAGCACUAAACUGAACAUUAGAUGCAAGUUCUAUAACUGUCAUUGAUAUUACCUCAAUCGCUGGCUAGGUAGCUAGCAGUAGGCAUGUGAUUCAUUAGUGGUACUAAUUAUCGAUCACAGGAAUAAUUUUGAGUCUCUGACUUGUAAUCUGGUGUGCCGCAGGACCGCAACAUAACAGCUGAUGUCAUGGAGUCCUUGCAUAUUCCUAAAGGAGUCCGCCGUGUACUCUUCCGAACCUUAAACACCGACAGAAAGCUUAUCUGGAAGAAAGAGUUUGAUUCAAGUUAUGUUGGCUUCAUGGAGGAUGGUGCUCAAUGGUUGAUUGAUAACACUGACAUCCAACUAGUUGGAGUUGAUUACUUGUCUGUGGGAGCAUAUGAUGAAUGUAUUCCGGCUCAUCUAGUUUUUCUUGAUAAA